ACCUUUCUAGCAAAACAAAGCUGUUACAGGAGGUACAAGAUGAAAACAAAUUGUUUCCAUCCCAGAUUGAGCAGCUUAAGGAACAAAAUUACUAACAGGUAUCUUCUUCCCCCCUCAUGAAGAAUUAUUGAUGAAAUGCACACACUUUUACAGCUAGAGUGUGAAAAACAUAAAUCUGUCCUUGCAGAAACAGAAGGAAUUUUACAGAAGCUUCAGAGAAGUGUGGAGCAAGAAGAAAAUAAAUGGGAAAUUAAGGUUGAUGAAUC
rnacentral:lncRNA from 1 species